AAAUAGGUAAGCUAAAAAAGCUAUUGGGUUCAUACCCCACUUAUAGAAGUUUACCCUUCUCUUAUUUA
rnacentral:tRNA from 1 species